CACAGGUGGUCGGGUAGAGAAUACCAAGGCGCUUGAGAGAACUCGGGUGAAGGAACUAGGCAAAAUGGUACCGUAACUUCGGGAGAAGGUACGCUCUUGAUGGUGAAGUCCCUUGCGGAUGGAGCUGACGAGAGUCGCAGAUACCAGGUGGCUGCAACUGUUUAUUAAAAACACAGCACUGUGCAAAAUCGUAAGAUGACGUAUACGGUGUGACGCCUGCCCGGUGCCGGAAGGUUAAUUGAUGGGGUUAGACUUCGGUCGAAGCUCUUGAUCGAAGCCCCGGUAAACGGCGGCCGUAACUAUAACGGUCCUAAGGUAGCGAAAUUCCUUGUCGGGUAAGUUCCGACCUGCACGAAUGGCGUAAUGAUGGCCACGCUGUCUCCACCCGAGACUCAGUGAAAUUGAAAUCGCUGUGAAGAUGCAGUGUACCCGCGGCUAGACGGAAAGACCCCGUGAACCUUUACUACAGCUUGGCACUGAACAUUGACCCUACAUGUGUAGGAUAGGUGGGAGGCUUUGAAGCACGUACGCCAGUAUGUGUGGAGCCGUCCUUGAAAUACCACCCUUGUAGUGUUGAUGUUCUAACGUCGACCCCUUAUCGGGGUUGCGGACAGUGCCUGGUGGGUAGUUUGACUGGGGCGGUCUCCUCCCAAAGAGUAACGGAGGAGCACGAAGGUGGGCUAAUCACGGUUGGACAUCGUGAGGUUAGUGCAAUGGCAUAAGCCCGCUUGACUGCGAGAAUGACAAUUCGAGCAGGUGCGAAAGCAGGUCAUAGUGAUCCGGUGGUUCUGAAUGGAAGGGCCAUCGCUCAACGGAUAAAAGGUACUCCGGGGAUAACAGGCUGAUACCGCCCAAGAGUUCAUAUCGACGGCGGUGUUUGGCACCUCGAUGUCGGCUCAUCACAUCCUGGGGCUGAAGUCGGUCCCAAGGGUAUGGCUGUUCGCCAUUUAAAGUGGUACGCGAGCUGGGUUUAGAACGUCGUGAGACAGUUCGGUCCCUAUCUGCCGUGGGCGUUGGAAGAUUGAAGGGGGCUGCUCCUAGUACGAGAGGACCGGAGUGGACGAACCUCUGGUGUUCGGGUUGUGUCGCCAGACGCAUUGCCCGGUAGCUAAGUUCGGAAUCGAUAACCGCUGAAAGCAUCUAAGCGGGAAGCGAGCCCUGAGAUGAGUCUUCCCUGAUACUUUAAGUAUCCUAAAGGGUUGUCGGAGACUACGACGUUGAUAGGUCAGGUGUGUAAGUGCUGUGAGGCAUUGAGCUAACUGAUACUAAUUGCCCGUGAGGCUUAACCAUACAACACCCAAGGGGUUU
rnacentral:rRNA from 1 species